UAGGAUACAUUGUGGAAAACAACAACAACAACAAAACCCACAACAAAUAUUCCAGAAUUUCCUGAUGCUACCUGCAGGUCUGUUCUGCAUGGAGUGCUCUCCCAGCGGUCUUGGGGCAGGUCCCAAAGGUUAUGGCAUCAUCUGGAACUGGCUGGAAUCUUGUCUGGAUCUUCUCCUGCUCUGCUCCUGGGGAGGUUGUAGCACAGUAGUUAUGUUUAAGGGAAAGGAUGGUUUUAACUUUGAAAUGAUAAAUAUGUCCUUGACCCUAUCCUAGUUUCCAAUUAUGCUCAUUUUACAAAAUCACUGCUUUCAGAGGGAAGGCACUGACUGAGAAGACUCGGCUUUCUCACGUGCAGUGGGAACUAAGACUAGGGGCUCCAUUAGCAGCUUCUUCUAUUUACUGCAUUAGAUAUUUACAGUAUUUUAUCCCUUGGUAUUCCACAGAUAGCUAGCUCAGAUGAAGUUGCUUUUGUUUAAAAUUUAUAGCUUUGAUAUCUGACAAGAAAUGGGCACUUCAGUUCCUUUCCUUCUUUCUUGAUUGCUGCAGGAAAUUUACUAUUUCUUUUCCCUGUCAGGCAGCACAGAGAGAAUACAAUUCCCACUGCUGCAUUCAUCUGCAUUCAUCACAAGCAUUCAUGUAUAUCUCUAAGCACCACUGAUGAAUUACAUAACAGUACAGUGUAAUUUCAUAACAGUUUAUUAUAUACCAUACAGAAUUUUUCCAAUGGCUAUAGGGCGAAAAGUAGCUGAGAAGCAUAUCCAGAUCCUAAUCUCGUCUUUACUAGACAUAAAAGCUGUUUGACAUAUUGGCUCUCUUUCUGGUUUAGAAUUGGAAAUGAAGAGGCCUUUCCUUUGUCAUCUGCUCAUAAAACACUGCAAGGUAUUGUGUAAAGUUGAGAUUGUAGUGGGAACUGUUCAAAGACCUGGAAUGACUACUGAAGUAAUUAUUGUUGGUUGUGUAAAAAUAUACUUUGUACAGCUUCAAAAAUGUAAUGAAGCUGCUGAACUUUUAAAAUUCUGCUGUGUCUUUAAUUCCUUUCCUUUGUAGCUGGAUAAAAAAAAAAAAGAAAGAAACGGUUACAGUAAGUGCUGUAGUUCUUAUUCUUUCAACAGAAGGAUGGGAUUAUUUCAACUUUUGUAUUAAAAAACCCUCACACAUUAAAUGAAUUGCAUUAAAGUGACAUAUUAAUAA